rnacentral:rRNA from 1 species
UACGGAGGGUGCAAGCGUUGUUCGGAAUUAUUGGGCGUAAAGGGCGUGUAGGUGGCUUACCAAGUCUGGUGUGAAAUCCCACGGCUCAACCGUGGAACUGCAUUGGAAACUGGUUAGCUCGAGGGUUGGAGGGGGUCGCGGAAUUCCCGGUGUAGAGGUGAAAUUCGUAGAUAUCGGGAGGAACACCGGUGGCGAAGGCGGCAUCCUGGACCAACACUGACGCUGAGUGAGCGAAAGCCAGGGGAGCAAACGGG